UAGUAUUCAAUUGUCAGAGGUGAAAUUCUUGGAUUUAUUGAAGACUAACUACUGCGAAAGCAUUUGCCAAGGAUGUUUUCAUUAAUCAAGAACGAAAGUUAGGGGAUCGAUGACGAUCAGAUACCGUCGUAGUCUAAACCAUAAACUAUGCCGACUAGGGAUCGGAUGAUGUUAAUUAAUGACUCA
rnacentral:rRNA from 1 species